AUUGAACGCUGGCGGCAGGCCUAACACAUGCAAGUCGAGCGAGCGGCGGACGGGUGAGUAAUGUAUGGGGACUGCCCGAUAGAGGGGGAUAACUACUGGAAACGGUGGCUAAUACCGCAUACUAUCGGAUAACCCAUAUGGGAUUAGCUAGUAGGUGGGGUAAAGGCUCACCUAGGCGACGAUCUCUAGCUGGUCUGAGAGGAUGAUCAGCCACCCUGGAACGUAGACACGGCCCAGCCUCCUACGGAGGCAGCAGUGGGGAAUAUUGCACAAGGGUCGCAAGCCUGAUGAAUCCAGUCAGCGUGUAUGAAGACGGCCUUAGGGUUGUAAAGUACUUUCAGCGGGGAGGCGUUACCCGCAGAAGAGGCACCGGCUAACUCCGUGCCAGCAGCCGCGGUAAUUC
rnacentral:rRNA from 1 species